rnacentral:rRNA from 1 species
GAGCUUGCUCUUAUGAAGUUAGCGGCGGACGGGUGAGUAACACGUGGGUAACCUACCCAUAAGACUGGGAUAACUCCGGGAAACCGGGGCUAAUACCGGAUAAUAUUUUGAACUGCAUAGUUCGAAAUUGAAAGGCGGCUUCGGCUGUCACUUAUGGAUGGACCCGCGUCGCAUUAGCUAGUUGGUGAGGUAACGGCUCACCAAGGCGACGAUGCGUAGCCGACCUGAGAGGGUGAUCGGCCACACUGGGACUGAGACACGGCCCAGACUCCUACGGGAGGCAGCAGUAGGGAAUCUUCCGCAAUGGACGAAAGUCUGACGGAGCAACGCCGCGUGAGUGAUGAAGGCUUUCGGGUCGUAAAACUCUGUUGUUAGGGAAGAACAAGUGCUAGUUGAAUAAGCUGGCACCUUGACGGUACCUAACCAGAAAGCCACGGCUAACUACGUGCCAGCAGCCGCGGUAAUACGUAGGUGGCAAGCGUUAUCCGGAAUUAUUGGGCGUAAAGCGCGCGCAGGUGGUUUCUUAAGUCUGAUGUGAAAGCCCACGGCUCAACCGUGGAGGGUCAUUGGAAACUGGGAGACUUGAGUGCAGAAGAGGAAAGUGGAGUUCCAUGUGUAGCGGUGA